GAGAAACCAUCACCCUGCCGCUUAUCGCCGCCUCCAUUAGGACGACCCAGAUGGAGUAAUUCUCUCCAUUCAAUUUGUUUCCUCCGAUAUGGAGAGGUUGUGUAUCGAUCUUGUAUGCUACAGAUUUUUCUGAUUUUGGCUAGGGUUGGGAAAGGUUUAAGGACAGUGAUGAAGUUUUUCUGCUCUGGUACCAUGUUAAAUGGUUCACAGAACAUAUUGUAAAAAAGAGAGAGAGAUAAGAUACGGUUUGUAUGGAAUUGGAUGAUUUUAUUAUUGAGUAUUGCUCCCUUUAAAUAGAGAAUAUAGUAUGAUGUA